rnacentral:rRNA from 1 species
ACGGAGGGUGCAAGCGUUAAUCGGAAUUACUGGGCGUAAAGCGCACGCAGGCGGUUUGUUAAGUCAGAUGUGAAAUCCCCGGGCUCAACCUGGGAACUGCAUCUGAUACUGGCAAGCUUGAGUCUCGUAGAGGGGGGUAGAAUUCCAGGUGUAGCGGUGAAAUCCUAUAAUCCUGGGAGGACCACCUGUGGCGAAGGCGCCUAACUGGAACGAACCUGACGGUGAGUAACGAAAGCCAGGGGCGCGAACCG